rnacentral:rRNA from 1 species
UUAGGUGAAAUUGAUAGUCGUAAGGAAGUCAAUUAAAUCUGGACACUUAGAGGAAGGAGAAGUCGUAACAAGGUUUCCGUAGGU